GGUUAAGCGACUAAGCGUACACGGUGGAUGCCCUGGCAGUCAGAGGCGAUGAAGGACGUGCUAAUCUGCGAAAAGCGUCGGUAAGGUGAUAUGAACCGUUAUAACCGGCGAUGUCCGAAUGGGGAAACCCAGUGUGUUUCGACACACUAUCAUUAACUGAAUCCAUAGGUUAAUGAGGCGAACCGGGGGAACUGAAACAUCUAAGUACCCCGAGGAAAAGAAAUCAACCGAGAUUCCCCCAGUAGCGGCGAGCGAACGGGGAGGAGCCCAGAGCCUGAAUCAGUGUGUGUGUUAGUGGAAGCGUCUGGAAAGGCGCGCGAUACAGGGUGACAGCCCCGUACACAAAAAUGCACAUGCUGUGAGCUCGAAGAGUAGGGCGGGACACGUGGUAUCCUGUCUGAAUAUGGGGGGACCAUCCUCCAAGGCUAAAUACUCCUGACUGACCGAUAGUGAACCAGUACCGUGAGGGAAAGGCGAAAAGAACCCCGGCGAGGGGAGUGAAAAAGAACCUGAAACCGUGUACGUACAAGCAGUGGGAGCCCUGAUUUAUCAGGGUGACUGCGUACCUUUUGUAUAAUGGGUCAGCGACUUAUAUUCUGUAGCAAGGUUAACCGAAUAGGGGAGCCGGAGGGAAACCGAGUCUUAACUGGGCGUUAAGUUGCAGGGUAUAGACCCGAAACCCGGUGAUCUAGCCAUGGGCAGGUUGAAGGUUGGGUAACACUAACUGGAGGACCGAACCGACUAAUGUUGAAAAAUUAGCGGAUGACUUGUGGCUGGGGGUGAAAGGCCAAUCAAACCGGGAGAUAGCUGGUUCUCCCCGAAAGCUAUUUAGGUAGCGCCUCGUGAAUUCAUCUCCGGGGGUAGAGCACUGUUUCGGCAAGGGGGUCAUCCCGACUUACCAACCCGAUGCAAACUGCGAAUACCGGAGAAUGUUAUCACGGGAGACACACGGCGGGUGCUAACGUCCGUCGUGAAGAGGGAAACAACCCAGACCGCCAGCUAAGGUCCCAAAGUCAUGGUUAAGUGGGAAACGAUGUGGGAAGGCCCAGACAGCCAGGAUGUUGGCUUAGAAGCAGCCAUCAUUUAAAGAAAGCGUAAUAGCUCACUGGUCGAGUCGGCCUGCGCGGAAGAUGUAACGGGGCUAAACCAUGCACCGAAGCUGCGGCAGCGACGCUGAUGCGUUGUUGGGUAGGGGAGCGUUCUGUAAGCCUGUGAAGGUGGCCUGUGAGGGUUGCUGGAGGUAUCAGAAGUGCGAAUGCUGACAUAAGUAACGAUAAAGCGGGUGAAAAGCCCGCUCGCCGGAAGACCAAGGGUUCCUGUCCAACGUUAAUCGGGGCAGGGUGAGUCGACCCCUAAGGCGAGGCCGAAAGGCGUAGUCGAUGGGAAACAGGUUAAUAUUCCUGUACUUGGUGUUACUGCGAAGGGGGGACGGAGAAGGCUAUGUUGGCCGGGCGACGGUUGUCCCGGUUUAAGCGUGUAGGCUGGUUUUCCAGGCAAAUCCGGAGAAUCAAGGCUGAGGCGUGAUGACGAGGCACUACGGUGCUGAAGCAACAAAUGCCCUGCUUCCAGGAAAAGCCUCUAAGCAUCAGGUAACAUCAAAUCGUACCCCAAACCGACACAGGUGGUCAGGUAGAGAAUACCAAGGCGCUUGAGAGAACUCGGGUGAAGGAACUAGGCAAAAUGGUGCCGUAACUUCGGGAGAAGGCACGCUGAUGGUAGGUGAAGCGACUUGCUCGUGGAGCUGAAAUCAGUCGAAGAUACCAGCUGGCUGCAACUGUUUAUUAAAAACACAGCACUGUGCAAACACGAAAGUGGACGUAUACGGUGUGACGCCUGCCCGGUGCCGGAAGGUUAAUUGAUGGGGUCAGCGCAAGCGAAGCUCUUGAUCGAAGCCCCGGUAAACGGCGGCCGUAACUAUAACGGUCCUAAGGUAGCGAAAUUCCUUGUCGGGUAAGUUCCGACCUGCACGAAUGGCGUAAUGAUGGCCAGGCUGUCUCCACCCGAGACUCAGUGAAAUUGAACUCGCUGUGAAGAUGCAGUGUACCCGCGGCAAGACGGAAAGACCCCGUGAACCUUUACUAUAGCUUGACACUGAACACUGGUCCUUGAUGUGUAGGAUAGGUGGGAGGCUUUGAAGUGUGGACGCCAGUCUGCAUGGAGCCGUCCUUGAAAUACCACCCUUUAAUGGCUGGUGUUCUAACGUAGGCCCCUUAUCGGGGUUGCGGACAGUGUCUGGUGGGUAGUUUGACUGGGGCGGUCUCCUCCUAAAGAGUAACGGAGGAGCACGAAGGUUGGCUAAUCCUGGUCGGACAUCAGGAGGUUAGUGCAAUGGCAUAAGCCAGCUUGACUGCGAGCGUGACGGCGCGAGCAGGUGCGAAAGCAGGUCAUAGUGAUCCGGUGGUUCUGAAUGGAAGGGCCAUCGCUCAACGGAUAAAAGGUACUCCGGGGAUAACAGGCUGAUACCGCCCAAGAGUUCAUAUCGACGGCGGUGUUUGGCACCUCGAUGUCGGCUCAUCACAUCCUGGGGCUGAAGUAGGUCCCAAGGGUAUGGCUGUUCGCCAUUUAAAGUGGUACGCGAGCUGGGUUUAGAACGUCGUGAGACAGUUCGGUCCCUAUCUGCCGUGGGCGCUGGAGAACUGAGGGGGGCUGCUCCUAGUACGAGAGGACCGGAGUGGACGCAUCACUGGUGUUCGGGUUGUCAUGCCAAUGGCACUGCCCGGUAGCUAAAUGCGGAAGAGAUAAGUGCUGAAAGCAUCUAAGCACGAAACUUGCCCCGAGAUGAGUUCUCCCUGAGACUUAGAGUCUCCUGAAGGAACGUUGAAGACGACGACGUUGAUAGGCCGGGUGUGUAAGCGCAGCGAUGCGUUGAGCUAACCGGUACUAAUGAACCGUGAGGCUUAACCUU
rnacentral:rRNA from 1 species